GAACAGCUCAGUCGGCACAGCAGGAAACUCUCAAUCUCAGGGUUGUGGGUUCGAGCACCACAUUGGGCAACA